rnacentral:rRNA from 1 species
CAGUCGCCGCGGGAAUACGAACCGUGCGAACGUUAUUCGGAAUCACUGGGCUUAAAGCGCGUGUAGGCGGGACGGCACGUCGACUGCUGAGAUCCCUCGGCUUAACCGAGGAAGUGGCAUCGGUACGACCGUCCUGGAGGAACGUAGGGGGACCUGGAACUUCCGGUGGAGCGGUGAAAUGCGUUGAGAUCGGAAGGAACGCCCGUGGCGAAAGCGAGGUCCUGGACGUUUUCUGACGCUGAGACGCGAAAGCUAGGGGAGCGAACGGGAUUAGAGACCCCCGUAGUCCCUGUCUCUUAUA